GACGAACGCUGGCGGCGUGCUUAACACAUGCAAGUCGAGCGGAAAGGCCCUGCUUUUGUGGGGUGCUCGAGUGGCGAACGGGUGAGUAACACGUGAGUAACCUGCCCUUGACUUUGGGAUAACUUCAGGAAACUGGGGCUAAUACCGGAUAGGAGCUCCUGCUGCAUGGUGGGGGUUGGAAAGUUUCGGCGGUUGGGGAUGGACUCGCGGCUUAUCAGCUUGUUGGUGGGGUAGUGGCUUACCAAGGCUUUGACGGGUAGCCGGCCUGAGAGGGUGACCGGCCACAUUGGGACUGAGGUACGGCCCAGACUCCUACGGGAGGCAGCAGUGGGAAAUAGUGCACAAUAGGCGGAAGCCUGAUGCAGCAACGCCGCGUGCGGGAUGACGGCCUUCGGGUUGUAAACCGCUUUCGCCUGUGACGAAGCGUGAGUGACGGUAAUGGGUAAAGAAGCACCGGCUAACUACGUG
rnacentral:rRNA from 1 species